GGCAACUGGAGACACCCUUUCCCAUUUUUUCCGUCGUGCCAGCGAGACCAGAGUUAAGAAGCUUCAGUCGUCGCUCGCCGUCCUUGUCGGUCCGUCGCAGGUGAGCAUGUCGAGGCCUCUGCAUGUUGCUGAUGUAUGCGGCCGAACCUGAGUUCCGUUCUGCGUCGUCAGCUUGUCUUCUUCUUCCUCUGAUUCGAUCGACGCUUCUGGGCGUAUAGUUGCGACUUCAUCUUCUUCUUCCUCUGCCUCUUACGCCGCUGCUGUGCCGAGGUCGUUGGAGUUUUCUUUUUCUUCUUUUCUGCGGCUGCGUUUGUCAUCUUCUUCCUCCUUCCUGGCUACCGCAAGACGUUGUAUGUGUGGGAAUGCAGGUCUUCGAGGUGAGGGGAGGGACACUUCAUUGCCAAGCAUGUAGAUUACUUCUGACAUGGAAGGCCUAUAGGAG